GACGAACGCUGGCGGCGUGCCUAAUACAUGCAAGUCGAGCGAAGCUCUGCCGGAGGCUUGCCUCUGGCGGAUGACUUAGCGGCGGACGGGUGAGUAACGCGUGGGCAACCUACCCUCGAGUCCGGGACAACCCUGGGAAACCGGGGCUAAUACCGGAUGGACCCCGUGGCCGAUGGUCAUGGGGGAAAGGUGGCCUCUGCUUGCAAGCUACCGCUUGGGGAUGGGCCCGCGUCCCAUUAGCUAGUUGGUGGGGUAAGGGCCCACCAAGGCGACGAUGGGUAGCCGGUCUGAGAGGAUGGCCGGCCACACUGGGACUGAGACACGGCCCAGACUCCUACGGGAGGCAGCAGUCGGGAAUAUUGGGCAAUGGGCGAAAGCCUGACCCAGCGACGCCGCGUGGGGGAGGAAGGCCUUCGGGUCGUAAACCCCUGUCUUCGGGGACGAACGGUCCACCGGCGAACACCCGGUGGAGGUGACGGUACCCGAGGAGGAAGCCCCGGCCAACUACGUGCCAGCAGCCGCGGUAACACGUAGGGGGCGAGCGUUGUCCGGAAUUACUGGGCGUAAAGCGCGUGUAGGCGGCUGGGGAAGUCGGGUGUGAAAGCCGCCGGCUCAACUGGCGGACUGCACUCGAAACUCCCCGGCUUGAGGGCAGGAGAGGGAAGCGGAAUUCCCGGUGUAGCGGUGGAAUGCGUAGAUAUCGGGAGGAACACCAGUGGCGAAGGCGGCUUUCUGGCCUGCACCUGACGCUGAGACGCGAAAGCUAGGGGAGCGAACGGGAUUAGAUACCCCGGUAGUCCUAGCCGUAAACGAUGGACACUAGGUGUGGGAGGUAUCGACCCCUUCCGUGCCGCAGCUAACGCAUUAAGUGUCCCGCCUGGGGAGUAGGGCCGCAAGGUUGAAACUCAAAGGAAUUGACGGGACCCCGCACAAGCAGUGGAGCAUGUGGUUUAAUUCGAAGCAACGCGAAGAACCUUACCAGGGCUUGACAUCUCCGCGAACCCUCCCGAAAGGGAGGGGUGCCCGUCGGGAGCGCGGAGACGGGUGCUGCAUGGUUGUCGUCAGCUCGUGUCGUGAGAUGUUGGGUUAAGUCCCGCAACGAGCGCAACCCCUGUCCUUUGUUGCCAGCGGUCAGGCCGGGCACUCAAAGGAGACUGCCGGAGACGAUCCGGAGGAAGGUGGGGAUGACGUCAAAUCCUCAUGGCCCUUAUGCCCUGGGCGACACACGUGCUACAAUGGCCUGUACAAAGGGCUGCGAUGCCGCGAGGCAAAGCGAAUCCCCAAAGCAGGUCCCAGUUCGGAUUGAAGGCUGCAACUCGCCUUCAUGAAGCCGGAAUUGCUAGUAAUCGCGGAUCAGCCAUGCCGCGGUGAAUACGUUCCCGGGGUUUGUACACACCGCCCGUCACACCAUGGGAGUCGGCAACACCCGAAGUCGGUGAGCCAACCCGCAAGGGAGGCAGCCGCCGAAGGUGGGGCCGAUGACUGGGGUGA
rnacentral:rRNA from 1 species